GACGAACGCUGGCGGCGUGCUUAACACAUGCAAGUCGAACGGAAAGGCCCUGCGUUUGUUGGGUUCUCGAUUGGCGAACGGGUGAGUAACACGUGAGUAACCUGCCCUUGACUGUCGGAUAACCUCAGGAAACUGGGGCUAAUACCGGGUAGGAUCUCCUGCUGCAUGGGGUGGGUUGGAGAGUUUCGGCGGUUGGGGAUGGACUCGCGGCUUAUCAGCUUGUUGGUGGGGUAGUGGCUGACGAAGGCUUUGACGGGUAGCCGGCCUGGGAGGGUGAACGGGCACCUGGGGACUGAGAUACGGCGCAGACUCCUACGGGAGGCAGAAGUGGGGAAUAUUGCAGAAUGGGCGGAAGCCUGAUGCAGAAACGCCGCGUGCGGGAUGACGGGCUUUGGGUUGUAAACCGCUUUCGCAUGUGACGAAGAGUGAGUGACGGUAAUGGGUAAAGAAGCACCGGCUAACUACGUA
rnacentral:rRNA from 1 species